CUCUGGGCUGCCAGAAAGUUGCGGAAAUUACCAGUUGGAAAGCGGAAGUUGACGUUAAACUUCAGGCGCUUCACCUCGUGUCUACAGGCAAACUUUUAUCUACAGUUCAGUGGUGACUAUACAUUCUUCUGCAGUCGUUACUCUACGCCAGCAUCAUAAAAACAUCAUCGUAAAAGUAGCAACAAGAGACAUAGCCACGCCUCGAAUUGUAACGAGAUUAAUACGAAUUGCCAAACCUGCUCCCCCGACGAGACGCUGCACGGUGCACAGGCGAUGUAUAAUACCAAACGAGCACUGGCCAACGCAGCUGGGAAGCGCGGGAUAUCAUCUAACGCGUUCCUGGAUCUCGUCGGAUCAGUGCGACCAAGGGGCAAUGGCAUAAACAAAUCUACGUCUGCCCCGUUUCUACUUUGCGCGCAUGUCUUGGCUGUUCCAGGAUACUCGUACUACUAAGGAGAGCCUUACAGACUACAAAGCUUUUACUCUUACUCGUCCUGUACUUAUUGCUGCUUCACUAUUACUUGCCAGCGGAGCUGAGUUCGCUGACUAAUGCUCACCUUCCACCUAUCACGACCGCGGGCAACGGCAUUCGCUGUUACAAGCGGCAGUGCUACCUGAUCAGCUCACAGCUGUAGCGGGAACAACAGCAGCGUGACCUCAGUAGCUGAGAUGGUUUACGUCCGCAUGUGCCGUACAUCAUAUGUCAUUGCCGCCACAUAUUUCUUGGUGGUACCAGGAUAGCUGUAUCCGGCUGAGUAGGACUAAUUCUGCGCGACUGACAUCCAGUCACUGGCUUGGACGGUAGGGCAACUGAACGGUCCUUGCUCUGCCAGAGACAGCGCCAUGUGUAUGUCAGAGUCAGCGAUCUGAAAGCGGUUCGCUACCGCUUCCGACGCAUACCUUUCUGCGUGGGUUUUCUAAGGAUCAUGUGGGUUUUCUGGUCGGCUUGUUGCUUUUAAGCCAUUGUUGUGACUGUUGCUGAUGAAAAUCGUUUGCUCGCGUAUGGCUGCCGCUGCUGAAUACCACGCCGGCCAUGAAUCAACAAAAGGCAGGAAGGCCAAACUGUGCCUUGUGCCAAGCUCCGAAACGCAAAUUCUUCUAGACGUUUACCUUUGAAGCACCACAAGGUAGCUGAAGUAGUAGCACCGGGCAUAGCCGUACCUAUGGUGAUACUGGCGGAUUAAACACAACUAUUCCAGCCGCAACAAACCCGUUCAGGCUUCGCUUAGGCCCGCUUCUGUUGCAGAUCGCGCGAAUAAUUAACUUUUUAACGAAGUACGAAACAGUUGCCAGGCGAAACAUCAACGAAACCUGUACAUGCGAGGAGGAAAGUACUUGCCGUGGCAAGUAAGGGGGCCGGCUUUCAAUAAACUAAAUGAAGUGACUGUGCAGAAAUGACGACCGUUUGUGGCGACUGUUAAACUUGACCAGCUAUAGUAUGGCGACUUGUGAGAUGAAAUACAGUCCAAGAUUUUGAGCUGUUGUGCUCGCAAAGGGACUAUCGGUCACUUCAGAACUGUUCCUAUAGGCCUAGAACCCAAAUUCUACCGAAAUUUUUCUUGCGUCAUUAGCCAUACUGUGCAAAGCA